GAGGGGCAGCAUGAGUAGCAAUACUUGAUGGCGACCGGCGGGCGGGUGCGUAACACGUAUGCAACCUACCUUUUACAGGGGGAUAGCCCGGAGAAAUCCGGAUUAAUACCCCAUAAUAUAUUGAUUGGCAUCGAUUGAUAUUGAAAGCUGAGGCGGUAAAAGAUGGGCAUGCGUCCUAUUAGCUAGUUGGUAGGGUAACGGCCUACCAAGGCGACGAUAGGUAGGGGGCCUGAGAGGGUGAUCCCCCACACUGGUACUGAGACACGGACCAGACUCCUACGGGAGGCAGCAGUAAGGAAUAUUGGUCAAUGGGCGAGAGCCUGAACCAGCCACGCCGCGUGCAGGAAGACGGCCCUCCGGGUUGUAAACUGCUUUUAUACGGGAAGAAAUCUUUGGAUGCGUCCAGAGUUGACGGUACCGUAUGAAUAAGGAUCGGCUAACUCCGUGCCAGCAGCCGCGGUAAUACGGAGGAUCCAAGCGUUAUCCGGAUUUAUUGGGUUUAAAGGGUGCGUAGGCGGAUAAUUAAGUCAGGGGUGAAAGCCGGCAGCUCAACUGUCGAAUAGCCUUUGAUACUGGUUGUCUUGAGUAUAGUUGAAGUGGGCGGAAUGCGGCAUGUGGCGGUGAAAUGCGUAGAUAUGCCGCAGAACACCGAUAGCGAAGGCAGCUCACUAAGCUAUUACUGACGCUGAUGCACGAAAGCGUGGGUAGCAAACAGGAUUAGAUACCCUGGUAGUCCACGCCGUAAACGAUGAUAACUCGACGUUGGCGAUACACCGAUCAGCGUCCAAGCGAAAGCGUUAAGUUAUCCACCUGGGGAGUACGAUCGCAAGGUUGAAACUCAAAGGAAUUGACGGG
rnacentral:rRNA from 1 species